rnacentral:rRNA from 1 species
UACGGAGGGUGCGAGCGUUGUCCGGAAUCACUGGGCGUAAAGGGCGCGUAGGCGGCUCGUGAAGUCAGUGGUGAAAGCCCAGGGCUCAACUCUGGGUCGGCCACUGAUACUCGCGAGCUCGAGUUUGGUAGAGGCAGAUGGAAUUCCGGGUGUAGCGGUGGAAUGCGUAGAGGAUCCGGAAGAACACCGGUGGCGAAGGCGGUCUG